AUGCUUACGACGGACUGGCGUUGCUCCAUUGCAACACCGCGGUGCUCCCUGACAGCUUCAAGGCAACAUCGCCGGAGUUGCGGCGCCUCUGCCGGACACUCGCCGCGGUCACCGUCGCAACACCGCGCGACGCUCCAUUGCAGCUCACGGAGACGGCCAUGGCGGGCGGUGGUCGGCAUAGAAGCUACUAUCGAUUUGUGGUCUCCGACGCGGCGGUGCUCCAUGGCAGCACCGGCCGCCUCCGUCGCAGCUCCAUCACGUCUCUCUCAUGACGGUGUUUUGGGCGGCGGGGCUCACAGCAUCCCUCGAACUCGACGGGGAGGAGGGAGAGGGGGAGGAGGAGGAGCAAAUCUCCGGCAGUAG
rnacentral:rRNA from 1 species